rnacentral:misc_RNA from 1 species
GAUGAAGAACGUAGCGAAAUGCGAUAAGUAAUGUGAAUUGCAGAAUUCCGUGAACCAUCGAAUCUUUGAACGCACAUUGCGCCCGCUGGUAUUCCGGCGGGCAUGCCUGUUCGAGCGUCAUUUCAACCCUCAAGCCCCCGGGUUUGGUGUUGGGGAUCGGCUCUGCCCUUCUGGGCGGUGCCGCCCCCGAAAUACAUUGGCGGUCUCGCUGCAGCCUCCAUUGCGUAGUAGCUAACACCUCGCAACUGGAACGCGGCGCGGCCAUGCCGUAAAACCCCAACUUCUGAAUGUUGACCUCGGAUCAGGUAGGAAUACCCGCUGAACUUAAGCAUAUCAAUAAGCGGAGGA